AUUUAGAUGCUACUGUGUCCUACAUCAAGCGUAAUUUGGAGUGAUUUUAUUGUGAUGUUUAAUUAUAUCAAAUAGAAAAAAAAUACAAUCGGAGAAUUAAACUUACUUUAAAAUGGGUGACUCGGAGGAGGAAAAUUACGUGACGUUUGGUGUUCCUCUCGACCCUUUGGACGAAGAAAAUAUUCCACGAAAAAAGCCUGUUACAAUUGAAGAUCAAUACGCUUACGAUGCCCAAGGUAGGCGCAGAUUUCAUGGGGCGUUUACGGGUGGCUUUUCAGCGGGAUACUUCAACACCGUCGGCACUCGCGAUGGCUGGAGACCGCAGCAUUUCAAAUCUUCAAGAAGUAGUAAAGCAGAUAAUGUUAUUCAGCGACCGGAAGACUUUAUGGAUGAAGAGGAUACGAGUCUUUUCGGAAUUGCUCCUAAAGGAAUACAAGCUACUAGCGAUUAUGCCGAUCAUGGACAAAAGGGAAAGAAAAGAGAGAGGAUAAGUCAAGACAAUAACGGACCUAUUCCUGGUACUCCUGUUUUAAAGGAACUUUUAAAACCUGUCAAAGAAACAGUGGGUAUUGUUCUACUUAAGAAGAUGGGUUGGAAACCUGGUCAGGGUGUAGGGUCUAGACUCACAAAGAGAGAAAAACAAAAGAUAAAGCAUCGUAAUGAAAAGUUAAAAUUAAUACAGGAAAAUCCUGUAAUAACAGAAAGCAAUUCAGAGGAUUCAGACGACAAUUCUACUAAUAUUACUUUUGCACCUGAUGAUUAUGAGCCAUUCAGGUGUAAACCAAAGGACAAUUAUUUCGGCAUCGGCUAUUCGGGUCUAGACAGACGGAAAAUUUUAUCUGGCCACAUCAAUUUAUUUGAUACUCCAGCAUUUUGUGUUCAAGAUAAAAAUAAGAAAUUAUCGAUUCAUGGCCAAGCAUUCGGAGUUGGUGCGUUCGAAGCCGAUGACGAAGAUAUAUAUGAAAGAGAAGAUAUGUCGCGUUACGACUUUUCUUUGGAUCCUGAACAUAAGACGAAGACAAGAUGGUCGCAGGAUGUUCCGACUAGCUCGCAAACUGAUUGUUUGGAAGGUUUUGUUCGCGCGAAGGAAAGAUUAGCGAACAAAAAGAUCUUUAAACCGCCAGAAUUGCCAAAGAAUUUUGUGCCAGUGCACGCUAUUAGAAAAAGCAGAUUUUAUCCGCCGAUUGCAAUUCCAAUAGAAAAUGGCAAACGCAGAGAGCCAUUGAAUGCAAUAGAUAGAGCGCGGAUUUUAGAAGAUCCCAAUGAACGUUCAAAAAAGCUACCAUCAAACAUAUCCGUCGCCUCGAAUAUCAUUUCGAAUACCUUGAAUUUACAUGGCAAACAGCAAACGGAGGAAAGAAGGAAAUUGGAGAAUCAACAGACAACGGCAAGCAACUCAUGGCUAGAUAAAUUAAAUGCUCAAAAUUUUAUCAAAGGUGGUGUUAUAGAUCUUCAAGAUGACACAGGUAGCUUGAAAACAUUAAAAGAUUUUAAAGAAACUGCUUCUGCAUCCAUACGUUCGAGCGCAGAAACAUCUAUAGAACAUGACUCCUCGAGUAAAAGCGAAAAAAGCGCAAAAUUGUUUUCGUCCGAUCCAGACAAACAGAGACGAUUCGAGCAAUAUCUUAUUUUCCUUAAAAACGAUGAAAGGAAUAAACUCGAGACUAUUCAACCACUUUCCAUGACCGAUUGGGAGAGAGAACAAGAACGUACGGAAUUUGAACAAGCGGCGAAGCUGGGGCAGUCAAAUAAUUAUAUGGUGGACAAAUUUAUAUCUAGCGCUGAUCACACGAUGGACAAGAUGGAUCCGGAGAAAGAUAUAAAAGAAGCAGUGAGACUGAAAAUGUUUGGCAAACUUACGCGAGAGCGAAGCGAAUGGAAACCCGCGAGUAUUGUUUGCAAGAGAUUCAAUAUUCCCGAACCGAAAGUCGGCUGCGCUCCAGUCACGACGGAUCGAAAAUCGGCGAGAUUCUCCAUCUUUGAUUCCUUAGAUUGGUGUAGUUCAUCCAAAUUUACGAAAGCUACAGACGAACGACAACAGCGAAUACAAGAGGAAGAAACGCCCCAACUGUCAAAAAAAAGGGAAGAGAAUGCAAACGAAGUAAUUUCCGGUAUUGAUAAUAUUUUGUCGAAUGAUUACCAAUCUUCAGAGUCCGUCUCCGAGAAGUUUAAAAUCUUCGAAGCUUCCUACGAGAAAGUUUUCGGCAAGGGUAUUCUUUCCACAGCGUCGGAAAAUGCUAAACAAGACGUAAGCGAUAAUUUAAAGGAUAAAACAAUCAAAGAAGUAGGAAAUAAGCAAGAAAUCGAUAACGGAUCGGUAACUGCAGUUAAAGAUCAGUCAAAUGAGAAGAAGGACCUCUUUAAAGCAAUUUUCCUUAGCAGCAGCGAAGAUUCCGAGGACAGCGAAACGGAAGAGAACGUUGAUAACGAAACGGUCAAAUCGAUCUUAAUCGGGAAAGAUCCGAAAGAAAUAAACAUCCAAAGAAAUACGUCGCCGCCGCGCGGUAUCUUCGCAAAAUUGGAUCUUGAUAGCUUGGUGACGCAUCCAAAACAGAUUAAUGAUGAAAAUACAGCUUCCAAGAUUUCAAAACCCAGUUUACCAAUAACCGAUGAAAUACGAAAUAAUCUCGCGGAUUGUAAAGAUGUGACCAAUGCGGAGACUGCGAUAUCAUCAGAUAUGUAUGGUCCGAUUCUGCCACAAAGAUUGUUAAAGCAAGAAAGUACUGCAACAACAGAAGCUAGUAGCACGAACCAAUCGCUAAAACCAGUAUUUCGCAGUGUCGUGGUAUCAAAGACUGCGGAUUCGAUACUCGGCGGGAAAUGGGUAGAACGGAGCAAAGCGAAAAAAUUAAAGAAAGAAAAGAAAAAGCACAAACAUAAAGAUCAUAAAAGCCCCAAGCACAAAAAGAAAUCUAAGAAAGAGAAACAUUCGAAACAUUAAUUUCUGUUUAUUUUUAUCUCUAAUUCCAAGCUUCAUAUUGUGAAACAAUUUACGUGUUAAAAUAAUUGUACAUAAAGACGAUUGAGUUUAUAAUAUGAUCUUCUAGAACCGUAUUAUUUUAUAAUGAAUUUCAUUAAACAUAUAUGCACUUAUUUUUCUAUACAUAUGAUGCUGUUGGUUGCGCGAAAUGUUAACUGUUUGUUUUGGUUAUAAAGACUGGUAGAAAACUCUCUGGUGCGAAUGGCUUUAAAAUAAAUCAAUAAUUCUUCGAUA